rnacentral:rRNA from 1 species
CAGUCGCCGCGGUAAUACGAAGGGUGCAAGCGUUAAUCGGAAUUACUGGGCGUAAAGCGUGCGUAGGUGGUGGUUUAAGUCCGUUGUGAAAGCCCUGGGCUCAACCUGGGAAUUGCAGUGGAUACUGGCUCGCUAGAGUGUGUCAGAGGAUGGUGGAAUUCCCGGUGUAGCGGUGAAAUGCGUAGAGAUCGGGAGGAACAUCAGUGGCGAAGGCGGCCAUCUGGGACAACACUGACGCUGAGGCACGAAAGCGAGGGGAGCAAACAGGAUUAGAUACCCGUGUAGUCCCUGUCUCUUAUAC